rnacentral:rRNA from 1 species
UACGAAGGGGGCUAGCGUUGCCGGGAAUUCCUGGGCGUAAAGCGCACGAAGGCGGAUUUGAUCGUCAGGGGUGAAAUCCCGGGGCUCAACCUCGGAACUGCCUUUGAUACUGCAAGCCUCGAGUCCGCAAGAGGUGAGUGUACUUCCUAGUGUAGAGGGAAAAUUCGUAGAUAUUAGGAGGAACACCAGUGGCGAAGGUGGCUCACUGUUCCGGUACUGACGCUCAGGUGCUACAGCGUGGGGAGCAAACAGG